AAUGAAGUGCCUGAAAAAAAGGAUUACUUUGAUAGAGUAAAUCAUGUAUGAAAAUACCUUCAUUA
rnacentral:tRNA from 1 species